UUGACUGACUCAAACACUUCAGUGUGACUGUGGGAGAAGUCUUGAUUGUCUUUACUUUCAGCUGUUUCAGCCUUUUGCAGAGCGUGGCUGUAUACAACAUGACUGAAAACAAAAUCGGCAUGCAGAAGAAUGCAACAAAAGAAGCACAUGGGAUAGAUGGAAAAUCGCCAUGAGGCAUAUUUGACCUCACUCACUAAGUCCGUGUCUACAAAAUGGACCCAUGGCUCAGCUGCUGCAGGAAUUCACAUGACACACAGCAGGAUUCAAAGUGGAACAGCGGUAUUCAGCCAUUAAUCCAGGUCUGCAGAAUAUGGUAUUUACUCCUGGGUUUCCUAAAAGCUAGUUUCGAAGGUGUGGACAGCAGGGUUGAGCUGGAUCUCAUUCGGACCAACAGAACCUACCACAAUAUUACCACCAACAAGCAACUUGGCAAUGCUUGCUGGCAAUGUCACAUUUCUGGUGAUGUCAUUUCUGGCACUGACAUAUGACAACUGCAGCUGGCAGUGGUGAUCCCGAUGCACCCUGAAACUGGCCAAUCAUGGAGAUAACCAUGCUCCUGUGCUGCAUUGGAGCAUAUACAUGUAGCCUAAGUAUGGGCCCAGAAAUAAAAUGUGACCCAGAAGAUCUUGCUUCAAGGGGUUAUUAUACAGUGUAUUAUGUAUGCUUCAGGAUCAGCUGGAUGCACAUUUGAGAUACCCAGUGAGAAAUAUGUCACUGCAAGAUACCUUUGUUACAUGUAGCUGGAUUUCUCUUCACAAUUGUUCUUCUUGCCGCAAUCCUGAUAGAUAUAAAGGCUGGAAAACACUGAUUUACUACUGCCCUGUACCAGAAUCAUUUCUGUUUCUUUGUUUCUAAAUGUGAUCUGUGGUCGCCUGGGUAGACAGAGCAAAGAAAUGGCUGUUUGCUCUAUCUGUUUCUCUACUUGGCAGUCCUCAGUUCAAACACUAGGUACACAGCAGAUAUGAUAUGUCUCAAUUAAACCACUAUAUAAAAUUGAUCAAAACAUAGAAUAAUGUUUUUAGCUUCUUGGGUCAUCAAUAUAAUGUAUUUCUCAAGCAAGGACAAAUGCCAAUGGGGUCAAAGAGUGAAAUUGCUGAUGCUUACACAACUCUCGGGAAAACAAAUGACUAUAGCUCUAAUUUAUGCUAAUUUGGGCUGGAAUUCUGGCUUCAUAAAUUUUCUGUGACUGAUUAAAAUUAUUAUUAUGUAGAACACCUCUAGGCAACUAUACUGGCUCAUUAAACACGGAAGCCUAAAAUUAUCUGCUCUGUAACAACUGUCUCUGUGUGUGCAUAUAUACACAUGUCUGCAUGUGGAUGUGUGUGUGUAGAUAUCAGAAUCACAGAUGGAACUUAUUAGAGAGAAUCUCAAGCAGACACAGCAAAAGAGCUGGAAAUGUUUUAUAACUUCUUUUGCAGUCCAUCUUGCGUCAC